AUUAGCAGGGACAAACAGGAAAUUGAACUCUUCUCUUCUCUUCUCUGUGGAGACGCUGAGCCAGCCAUCAUCAUGUAGCAGACAAGGGAGUUGCAGGUCUGGGUAACACAUGUGCAUCAGUCAGGGCCCAGGUCCAAAGAGAAACUACAAAAAACUACUUCAAUGAACAACUUUAAUGUGGAAGACUGAGAACUGAAAAACCAUGGAAGCUGGGACAUCACAAGACAAUCACUACAGGAAGCAAAUUUACUGUCAGUGUGGGAACAAAGAGGAGGUGCUUCGUUUGCAAAAUGCACAGUCUGGAACCAGGGCUCCCAGGAGGGAAGAUAGUGGGUCAGCUUGUGCAGUGUCUGAACUGCACAGAAAGCUGAUGUGUGAAGACCACAAACAAGUCAAACGGUGCUACGGCGCUAGAGAUGCUGCAACUAUCGGUGUGGAAAGGAAGACACCGUGGGGGAUGCCAGAGUGAAGCGAGGCAGCAAGGGCUCCCUACAGCUCUUCGUUCUAACUCAAGCAUCCAUAUUAUCAUAACUUGGUAGCUUUCACAGUCCAGCAACACGGGGUGCAGGACAGAACAAUGAGAUUGGGACAGAAAUUAUUGACAGUCACAAAAUGAAAAGCAACUCGAAAUCCCAGGACCGAGAGGCACUGAUAAUUGGUAUCUGAGGGGAAGGAUGAACAGGACAGCGUUUCCAGACUUCAUUCGGCCUGUAUUUCCACUAGUUCUUUUUGAGAACAAGGAAGGAAUAGAAGCUGCUCAGAUGAGUGACAAAUAACUUCAGGCCUUUUCACGGAGAAGCCUUUUUCAAAAUUAAGACAAUCUUAAAUACACCUCACUGCUUUGUCUGGUCCUCAGAAACCUUGUCUGAGCCUUCACCUCUGAAGCUUAGAGCCCAGAACUUCAGCCUUGGAACAUCUACAAGCCUGACAAAGAACACACACUGAAAGCAGGGAGGACCUGGCUAGUGCCAAAGAGACACCACAGAUGUCACGCACUUGAACUAGCCCCAGGAUGUUAAAUUAAUAUUGCACUUAGGGCUUAUCUGGUUUCCCUUGGCAACUAGACAGAAGGUGCAGAGCAGAGAGCAAGAGAAAAAAAGUUUCAUCAUUCAGGCAGUACAAAAAAAGAAAAAAAAAGUUACCAUGGAAAGAAAAAGAAAAGGAGAGGUACCAACAGGAAAGGAAAUUACCAUCACCCAAAACAGAAUAGCGACCUGCAGUGGGGAGACACACAGCCCAGCAACCGUGGGGUUUCAGAGGUACCACUGCAGCCUGGUGGCAUUCAGGAAGGAGAGACGUUAUAGUCUACCUGCCUCCUCUCUCUGGAGAAGGUCACUUUUACCAUAAACUAGAACCAUCAUGUGUCUGUGUGUUUAGCACCACAGGCUCAGUACCCAGAAUAAGACAGACAUUCAACAAUGAAUCAUGAGUAAUCAUGUUGAUGCCAAAUCACAAAAAAGUAUCUAAAAUUAUGACUAAUAAAUGUUAGUGGAAAGUACAUAGGUAUUGGUGGCACUUUGAAAAGUAACUGUUAAAAAUAACCACUGUCUAUGGGCUGUGCUAUGGAAGCAAGGACCAGCUUCUCUGACAUGCUCUCUAGUGCAAUAAUGGUAAGUGUGUCAUAGGAGUGACCAAUUGCUCUCUGAGGCUCUGCUCCACAAGAAGGAAUUCAUAUCUGAGUAGGUAACCCAGUCAAAAACUCACUAUGUAGCCUUGGCUGGCCUGGAACUUAUUGUGUCAACCAGAAUGACCUUAAACUCACAAGAUAUCUGCCUUCCUUUGCCUCCCAGUGUAGGGAGACACUGUAGCCCCAUCUCCUAGGAGCUAGCUACAUGUGUGCUUGACCACACCUGUCAGGAUGUGGUCAGGGGAGGUUCAGGGUGACUCAUGGGGAGUUCUUAAGGGGGCAGCAGACACAUGGGAGCCCUUCUCUCUGGCCUCCCUAGCCUGCUGCCUCUGGGCAUGCUCUGGCUUAUGCUUGGCCGCUGUUUAUCUGAAUAAAGAUAUUUUAACCUUACCGACUAUGGAUAGUCUUCGUUCUCGUUAUAUCCCAGUGCCAAGAUUAAAGACAUAUACCACCACACCCAGCUAUGGCUGGUGUUUUGCUAAGUGGAC
ensembl:lncRNA